GGGGGUAUAGCUCAGUUGGUAGAGCAGCUGACUCUUAAUCAGUAGGUCGUAGGUUCGAAUCCUACUGCCCCUA
rnacentral:tRNA from 1 species